GACGAACGCUGGCGGCGUGCCUAAUACAUGCAAGUAGAACGCUGAAGGAGGAGCUUGCUCUUCUGGAUGAGUUGCGAACGGGUGAGUAACGCGUAGGUAACCUGCCUGUAGCGGGGGAUAACUAUUGGAAACGAUAGCUAAUACCGCAUAACAGUAGAUGUUGCAUGACAUUUGCUUAAAAGGUGCAAUUGCACCACUACCAGAUGGACCUGCGUUGUAUUAGCUAGUUGGUGGGGUAACGGCUCACCAAGGCGACGAUACAUAGCCGACCUGAGAGGGUGAUCGGCCACACUGGGACUGAGACACGGCCCAGACUCCUACGGGAGGCAGCAGUAGGGAAUCUUCGGCAAUGGACGGAAGUCUGACCGAGCAACGCCGCGUGAGUGAAGAAGGUUUUCGGAUCGUAAAGCUCUGUUGUAAGAGAAGAACGAGUGUGAGAGUGGAAAGUUCACACUGUGACGGUAGCUUACCAGAAAGGGACGGCUAACUACGUG
rnacentral:rRNA from 1 species